UGAUCUUCUAGUCACACCUUCAGUUAUAGCCUUACACAGUGCACACGCUAUAAUCUGACUGACAGAUAUGCUGUACAUGGUAUAAGUAUCUUGUUUUACUCUCUCACCCUCAUCAGAGUCACACUGGAGACAUUGAGCUUCCUGGUGCAGUACGCUCUUCAGGGAAAAGCAUUUCCAGGAUGAAUUACAUGUUCACUUCAGAUCACAGCUCCACUUGGGUUUGUUAGCGGCACUGGGACGCUGUGGCCUGGCUGUGUUUGAGCUGAGAGAUGGAUUGUGAAAGUCUCAGCGGGCACAGACAUUAAUAGCUUCUCCUCAGGUUAUUCUUUUACACCACACUCUGCUCCCAGGGCCAUGGGGACGCCAGGCCCGAGGCAUGCAGUUUCUAUUUCCAUGCCCCAACCAGCCUUGAAGGGAAGCCGUAUGGAAACGUGGCAAGGACUGCAUGCAGGGACUAUUAAUGCCAUGUAUCACAUCUCCUAUUUAAAUGCUCCCCAUUAAUGCUGAUAUGGACUGAGCCAGCCUUUUCCAAGCAACGCAUCAUAAUAUUUAGCACCGUUGCAGCGCCACAAGGCCUCCGGCUCUACAUUUGCCCACAUGUCGCCUCUCUGCCGAAUGUCGGGGACAUGAUGUUGAGUCAGGCGCCUCACACACACACGUGAUACACUUGCUGCCUGGCACUCAGCCACUGUUUGUCCUUUACACAUCCUAGUGACCAAAGUGUCUGUCAGUUAGAUGGGGACUUCCUGCAGAGAUGCUGCAACAAAGAAAACAAACCAGGCCCAAGUGUGGAAAAUGGUACAGCAGAAACACACUCAGCAGAUUAGAAACAAAAGUGAGAUUUAUGACUUUGCCGUUGUUCGGCUGCAGGAUUAAGACUUAUGCCUAGCUGAAAGUUCAUCCUGGCCUCCCGCAGCAUGACCUCACUCUAUCGCACAAGAGAUAUGUGAUAGACUCUCUCCUUUUGGAGAGAAAAAGGUUCCACAGCAGGGUCGCACUAAAAUGCACCAGAACAAGAGGCUGAACUUCAGAGAGCACCACUGAAAAACGAGGACAGACCACCCUUUGGUGUUAGAAACAGCAUGCCUAGAACCCAGUGGUGUCCCAUCUCAACUAGUGCCUAUUCAAAAAACACUUAAAGUAGCACAGAUAGGUUGGAGGUCUUCCAAAAGAGGUUUAUUAAAAAAAAAAAAACACACACACACACACACACACACACACACACACACACACACACACACACACACACACACACACACACACACACACACACACACACACA